AGUAGGUGCAAACAAACCUUUAUUAAUCAAAACAGGAGCCAUUACAAUUGAAACAUUUUUGCCAGCAGGAAAUAAGUUUGUUUGCUCCUGUAGCAUAAAAAUUAAUGCUUCAGGGUUCUAGGAACACUUGGAAAGCAUUUUCUGUAUCCUGCUGAUUGUGGAAGCGUUUUCCCUGCAAAAAGUUGUUGAGAUGCUUGAAGAAGUGCUAGUCGGUUGGUGAGAGGUCAGGUGAAUAUGGAGGAUGAGGCAAAACUUCAUAGCCUAAUUCAUUCAACUUUGGAAGCAUUGGUUGUGUGACAUGUGGUCAGGCAUUGUCUUAGAAAAGACUUGGGCCCUUUCUGAUGACCAAUGCCGGCAGCAGACAUUGCAAUUUUUGGUACAUCUCAUCAGUUUGCUGAACAUACUUCUCAGAUGUAAUGGUUUUGCUGGGAUUCAGAAAGCUACAGUGGAUCAAACCUGCAGCAGACAACCCAACAGUGAUCAUGACCUUUUUUCCGGUGCAUGUUUGGCUUUGGGAAGUACUUUGGAGCUUCUUUCAGUCUAACCACUGAGCUGAACGUCUCUGGUUGUCAUAUGAAAUCCACUUUUCAUCACACGUCACAAUCGGAUUGAGAAAUGGUUCGUUGUUGUGUAGAAUAAGAGAAAGCGGCACUUCAAAAUUACAAUUUUUAAAUUUUUGCUCAGCUCAUAAGGUACCCAUUUAUUGAGCCUUUUCACCUUUCCAAUUUGCUUCAAAUGACCAAUGACCGUAGAAUGGUCAACAUUGAGUUCUUUGGCAACUUCUUGUGAAGGUGUAAGAGAUCAGCUUCGAUGAUUGUUCUUAAUUGGCUGUUAUCAACUUCCAACAGCCAAACCCUAUGCUCCUCAUUCUCAAGGCUCUCAUCUCCUUUGCAAAACUUGAAAUACCACUGUACAUAUGUUCAUUAGCAGUUACUGGGCCAGAAGCAUUGUUGAUGUUGAGUUUUCUCCACUGCUUUACGACCCAUUUUGAACUCGAAUAAGAAAAUCACUCAAAUUUCCUUUUUGUCUAACAUCAUUUCCAUAGCAGUUCAGCAUAGCUGGGGAGGCCUCAGGAAACUUACAAUCACAGCAGAAGGCAAAGGGGAAGCAAGGGACAUCCUUCACAAGGCAGCAGGAAAGAGAAUGAACGAAGGAGGAACUACCAAACACUUAUAAAAACCAUCAGAUCUCGUGAGAACUCACUCACUAUCACGAGAACAGCAUGGGGGAAC
rnacentral:lncRNA from 10 species